rnacentral:rRNA from 1 species
UACGUAGGGUGCGAGCGUUGUCCGGAAUUAUUGGGCGUAAAGAGCUUGUAGGCGGUUUGUCGCGUCUGCCGUGAAAGCCCAGGGCUUAACCCUGGGUCUGCGGUGGGUACGGGCAGACUAGAGUGUGGUAGGGGAGACUGGAAUUCCUGGUGUAGCGGUGAAAUGCGUAGAUAUCAGGAGGAACACCGAUGGCGAAGGCAGGUCUCUGGGCUGACACUGACGCUCAUGCACGAAAGCGUGGGGAGCAAACAGG